rnacentral:rRNA from 1 species
UCCAGACUCCUACGGGAGGCAGCAGUGAGGAAUAUUGGUCAAUGGCCGGAAGGCUGAACCAGCCAUGCCGCGUGAAGGUCAGUGCCCUAUGGGCGUUAAACUUCUUUUGUGCGGGAGCAAUAAUGGUCACGUGUGGCCAGACGAGAGUACCGUACGAAUAAGCAUCGGCUAACUCCGUGCCAGCAGCCGCGGUAAUACGGAGGGUGCGAGCGUUAAUCGGAAUUACUGGGCGUAAAGCGCUCGUAGGCGGUAUGUCAAGUCAAGGGUGAAAUCCCCGCGGUCAACGUGGGAACUGCCUUUGAAACUGGCAAACUGGAGUGUGUGAGAGGAUAGUGGAAUUCCAGGUGUAGGAGUGAAAUCCGUAGAUAUCUGGAGGAACAUCAGUGGCGAAGGCGACUAUCUGGCACAUAACUGACGCUGAGGAGCGAAAGCGUGGGUAGCAAACAGGAUUAGAUACCCCUGUAC